ACAAUCAUGGCAGAAGGGGAAGCAAACAUGUCCUUCACAUGGUGGCAGCAAGAAGUGCGGAGUGAAGCGGGGGCAAAGCCCCUUAUAAAACCAUCAGAUCUUGUGAGAACUCACUAUCAUGAGAACAGCAUGGAGGUAAUUAUCCAGUUGAUAUUUAUCUUGUUCCAGUCACCUUAAGAAAGCUGUUUGGCAAGGGCAGUGACUGGAAGCUGGGAGAGAGGGUCAACAGCUGAAUCUC
rnacentral:antisense_RNA from 1 species